rnacentral:lncRNA from 1 species
UCGGGACAAGUUUGUUAAUACUCAUAGCUACCCAGAUUGGGAUAGGCAGUGUAAAGGAGUCAGAGCUUCUGUUCAUCAGAAUCCAUACGGCAGAGUCAGGGAGAUGGUUCCAGGAGAAGAAAAGAAAGUCAGUUGCUUUCUGAGAUCAGGUGGGAAGUUUAUCCUGUCAACUCCACCUUUAGAGUGCUAGUCUCUGGAGCCACAAGGACUGAAACUCUGCUUCAGAGACCCACCACUGAUGACAACCAUCAGGCUCAGGAACUGAAAAGAAAUGGUGCAAAUGUGGCCGAGGGACUUGGGUUUUACAUUUAUUGCCGAGUCUGGUUUUCUUGAGUUUCAGAUGAUAAAAUUGAAGCCCAGAGAAGCUUGGGAGCCUCAACUAUUAAUGGAAAAACCAUAACUAGAACUGAGUUUUCCUGAGACAUUUUUUACUAUUCAUUCCCCUGCUCUUGGGCCACUCCAGGGCACUGAGCACACUUGCUUUGGCUAUUUGGAGAAGAGGCCAAUAGACACAACUGGCUUCAUCUUCAGGGACACCCAAUAUCUGGCAGCCCUCAGCCCCAGCGGAGUCUUUAUUGAAAGAACUGAUUCAUAGACCAGGCGCGGUGGCUCACGCCUAUAAUCCCAACACUUUGGGAAGCUGAGGUGGGCGGAUCUCAGUCAGGAGAUCGAGACCAUCCUGGCUAACACGGUGAAACCCCAUCUCUACUAAAAAUACAAAAAUAAAAAAAAAAAAUAGCUGGGUGUGGUGGCAGGCGCCUGUAGUCCCAGCACUUUGGGAGGCCGAGGUGGGCAGAUCACAAGGUCAGGAGUUCAAGACCAGCCUGACCAACAUGGUGAAACCCCAUCUCUACUAAAAAAAUACAAAAAUUAGCUGGGUGUGGUGGUGCGCACCUGUAAUCCCAGCCACUCAGAAGGCUGAGGCAGGAGAAUUGCUUGAACCUAGGAGGGGAAGGUUGCAGUGAGCCGAGAUUGCGCCACUGCACUCCAGCCUGGUUGACAGAGCAAGACUCUGUCUCAAGAAAAAAAAAAAGAAAAAGAAAAAAAAAGAAAGAAAGAACUGAUUUAUGAAAAGAUUCUUAUCAUGAUUUUCAUUUUACUAGUCCAAAGAUCACUGAGUUAAACUGCCUAUUUUAGUAGAUGAACAAAAGUGCCUUGAAUAAAGACGUAAUUCAAUAAAAACUUAAUCCUGUCAUAAAAUUGAAUAUUCUCUGGUUCCCCAAUGAACCCCAAAAC